GUACUGAAAGCGCCGAGAAUACCGCGGUCAGGACGGCGGUGUCUCCAGGGUGACGCGCGGGCAUUGCACAGCGCUCGUGCCGAUCUCUGCCACUACUCCGGGUAGAUGGGGCGCAUAAUUUUUGGUAGUGGGGGACUGCGUUCGCGCUCUCCCCUG
rnacentral:snRNA from 1 species